AGCUCCCUGGACACGAGAAAUCGGACAGACUUUGACGCACCUUUGGCGUGGCUGCAGUAGUCUGCAAGCGUGACGUGACUCUGUUCCCCUAGAUCCGCCCUCCUCUCAGUGACCGACGUUUCCUGUCCGUCUGCUCUCUAUAAAGAGCCUGUGAGAUCUUCAGAGACUGAAGACCUUCAGCAGCUGACGCCUCAGAGGUCCUCCUGCCUGAACCAGCGUGGGUCCAGCAUCCCGUUCUGAAGCUCCUGAAGAACCAGAGACUGUGGGUGACCAUGAAGAUCCUGCUGAGCUGUUUGCUGAUCCUCAUGCUGGUUGAUGACUCAUCUCUGGCUACAUAUGAAAGCUUUUCCUGGAAGCACGUACGUGACAGCAUGGAAUUGCUUCACUGUCACCAAGAGAUGGAAGCAAUAAACAGCCACAUCAGCGAGCGGAAAUGUAAAGAUAGCAACAGUUUCAUCGUCUCUUCCGAUUACAGAGUUAAACAAAUCUGUAUAGGUGAAGGAGAGCCAUACGGAGACAAAACACUGAGCAAAGGAACGUUCAGGAUCGUCAGGUGCGAAUUGGCGCCAGGAGCCAAGUACCCCGACUGCCAAUAUCAAGGCAGUGUGCUGACUAACAGGAAGCUGUUGGUCAAGUGUGAGAACAACCUGCCUGUUCACUUUCAUGGUGACAGAGACUAACCUGGAUUCUGAUGUCUGUAUUCCUGAGGCGACAGUGAAAUGUCCUGCUGACCUUCUCUGAAUCCCACUGAACAUCUGGCUUUACUGCAGCAGAGCCGCUUAUCUAGAUCAGCUGAUCCUGUUCUGUGCUGCUCACAGUUUGCAUUCCUGUACUCUGCUUGCUCCAACUCCAAACAAAGAGGAGUUCUGCUUUCAUCAAUAAAAGUAUCAAGUUGA